GGGAAGAGUGUAUGGUGUAGUUGGUAAACAUCUGCAGGAAUCCUUCUGGCAUGGUUUGUUGUUUUUGGGGAACAACCAUCUGGAAAAGAAGGUCACAGGUUCAAAUCCUGCUAUCCCCA